rnacentral:rRNA from 1 species
CCUACGGGAGGCAGCAGUGGGGAAUUUUGGACAAUGGGCGCAAGCCUGAUCCAGCAAUGCCGCGUGAGUGAAGAAGGCCUUCGGGUUGUAAAGCUCUUUUGUCAGGGAAGAAACGGUGGAGGCUAAUAUCCUUUGCUAAUGACGGUACCUGAAGAAUAAGCACCGGCUAACUACGUGCCAGCAGCCGCGGUAAUACGUAGGGUGCAAGCGUUAAUCGGAAUUACUGGGCGUAAAGCGUGCGCAGGCGGUUUUGUAAGUUUGUCGUGAAAUCCCCGGGCUCAACCUGGGAAUGGCGAUGAAGACUGCAAGGCUAGAAUCUGGCAGAGGGGGGUAGAAUUCCACGUGUAGCAGUGAAAUGCGUAGAGAUGUGGAGGAACACCGAUGGCGAAGGCAGCCCCCUGGGUCAAGAUUGACGCUCAUGCACGAAAGCGUGGGGAGCAAACAGGAUUAGAUACCCUGGUAGUCCACGCCCUAAACGAUGUCUACUAGUUGUCGGGUUUUAAUUAACUUGGUAACGCAGCUAACGCGUGAAGUAGACCGCCUGGGGGAGGUACGGUCGCGAGAAGUUAAAACGUUAAAGUUAGUAAGUUAGACGGACGUGAGACGUGCCGACGGACGACGACGAGGGAGGAGG